GCCGCCGUAGCUCAGCAGGCAGAGCGCUGGCCUUGUAAGCCAGUGGUCGCGGGUUCGAAUCCCGCCGGCGGCUCCA
rnacentral:tRNA from 1 species